rnacentral:snRNA from 1 species
AGAUGUAUGGGCAAUGCGGCUGCAACAUCUGUUACCCCAUUGAUCACCAGGGCUGGUUCAGAUGAUCUGGUUAGGUCUCCCUCCCUCACUGCUCCAUGUGCGUCCCUCCUGAAGCUGUAUGCUCCCUUCCCUGAAUAGGGGACCAGCCUUCUGUCAAGGGUAAACCAACAGCUGCACUCCCCUGCUAGAACCUCCUGGGCAGUACCGGGAGAGGACAGCACAGUUGGCAGGGUCACAGGAAAGAUUUAAGU